rnacentral:rRNA from 1 species
CCUACGGGAGACUGCAGUAGGGAAUCUUUCACAAUGGGCGAAAGCCUGAUGGAGCAACGCCGCGUGCAGGAUGAAGGCCUUCGGGUUGUAAACUGCUUUUAUAAGCGAGAAAUAUGAUGGUAACUUAUGAAUAAGUAUCGGCUACCUACGUGCCAGCAGCCGCGGUCAUACGUAGGAUCCGAGCAUUAUCCGGAGUGACUGGGUGUAAAGAGUUGCGUAGGUGGCAUAAUAAGUAGCUAGUGAAAUCUGGUGGCUCAACCAUUCAGACUAUUAGCUAAACUGUUAAGCUCGAGACCGUUAGGGGUAGCUGGAAUUUCUAGUGUAGGAGUGAAAUCCGUAGAUAUUAGAAGGAACACCAAUAGCGUAGGCAGGUUGCUGGGACGGUUCUGACACUAAGGCACGAAAGCGUAGGGAGCAAACGGGAUUAGAUACCCGAGUAGUC